rnacentral:rRNA from 2 species
GGUGUGAUUCAUGACUGGGGUGAAGUCGUAACAAGGUAGCCGUAGGGGAACCUGCGGCUGGAUCACCUCCUUA